UACGAAGGGGGCUAGCGUUGCUCGGAAUCACUGGGCGUAAAGGGUGCGUAGGCGGGUCUUUUAAGUCAGGGGUGAAAUCCUGGAGCUCAACUCCAGAACUGCCUUUGAUACUGAAGAUCUUGAGUUCGGGAGAGGUGAGUGGAACUGCGAGUGUAGAGGUGAAAUUCGUAGAUAUUCGCAAGAACACCAGUGGCGAAGGCGGCUCACUGGACACAUAUUGACGCUGAGGUGCGAAAGCGUGGGGAGCAAACAGG
rnacentral:rRNA from 1 species